GAGGGGGGCCGGGCCGCCGGCGGAGACGUGCCUUCGCGGCGGCGGUGGCGGCGGCUGCGGCGGCGGCGGCGGCUGGAGACUGAAGGGGAGGAGGUUCGGGGAGGGGAGGGCGCGCGGGCGAGAGCGAGGGAGGGACGGAGCGGCGGCGGGGAGGUGGGGCCAGCGGGCGGGCGGGCGGCUGCAGCUGCCGCCGGCGACUCCGGGGCUCCAGGCUGCGGGGCGGACGCAGCGCCGAGCGAUCCACCGCGGAGCCGCGCGAGGCCGCCCGAGCCCCGAGCCCCGAGCCCCGAGCCCCGAGCGAGCGCCGCGGCCGCCGCGGCCGCCUCGCGCCAGUCUGUCCCUGGACGCGCUGCCGCCGCCGCCACCGCCGGGAAGGCAGCGGGCGCCAAGCAAGUUGCGAGCGCGCCUCUCCGCCCGGGGGAAAGUUUCCCCCGCGGCCGCCGACGCGAGUUGGCACGGGGUCCGGCCGCUGCGGCUGGAAGAGUUUAUCCUGAAGCCACUAUCGGAAAGAGACCUCAGGAGAAUCUUGACACCCCAGACAGAAGACACCAGUUGAAAAAGGUGGGCAUCUCCUUGGCAGCCGGGGCUUGCAGGGACCAGAACUUCUGGCACUGUCAUCAAAGCAAUGUGAACCCUUUGCAUUUGAACUCCUAAAAACGUGGGCACAAUCUUUUUCCAGACUUCUCAACUCCGGCUACCCAGGUAAGGGAGCUCAGGGUGUUCAGCAGCUUUUGCUGGUUUUGUUGCUGCUGUUGAUGAGGACACCCUAAUCAUUCUUUAUCACUGUAUCUUGUAUUCCCUUCGUUAGCAGGAGAGCCCAGUGGUUAAGGCUUUAAAAUCGAACAGAGUUGGGUUCCAAUCCUGAAUCACCAGUUACUAGCUGUGUGACCUUGGGCAGGUUUCUCAACCUUUCUGUGACUCUGCUUCCUCCUCAGUCAAAUGAGAAAGCAAGAGCACCCCUCUCUUGGGUUUCUGGUGAAGAUAAAAUGAAGUAAUAUACGAAAAGCCCUUAGAACAGGACAUGUAGUAAGCUUAGAACACAGAAAACAUUAGCUGUUACUAAUAGCAUCACUGCACUUGUGACAGUCUGUAAUUAACUCAUCCUCAUGUUGAGUCCUUGUCUGUCUCCUGCAAUAGAAUAUGGACUCCAGAAGACAGGGGAUUUUGUCUGUCUCGUUCCUAGUUGAACCUCCAGAUCCCAGCAGAGUAAGAAAGUGAAAGUGAAGUCGCUUAGUCGUGUCCGACUCUUUGCGACCCCAUGGACUGUAGCCUACCAGGCUCCUCCAUUCAUGGGAUUUCCCAGGCAAGGGUACUGGAUGGGUUGCCAUUUCCUUCUCCAGGGGGUCUUCUCAACCCAGGGAUCGAACCCAGGUCUCCUGCACUUUGGGCAGACACUUUACCACCUGAGCCGUCAGGGAAGCCGGCAGAGUAAACUGGCUGUUAUUUGCUGAAUGAAUGAUUGAGUGAGUGAAGCUGUUUUACCUAUAUUAUGCAUAAUCCUCAGGACAAUUCUUGAGGGUUCCUGCAUUUAUAAGGAUAAUCACUUGGUUGUAUGUGAUAAAAAUGCAAACUAAAGUUCCUUAAGCAAGAGACAGGUUGAUUUUUCUCUAAGGAAAUUUCUAAGCUAAAGAGAUCCUUUGACACAAAAACAUUAGGGACCCGAGUUCCUUUUGUCCUGUGGUUAUAUCCAUCACUUGUCUACAUGACCCACGAGGGCCCAUGACAGUCUCUCCAUUCUGGUUGGCAAGAAGGAAGAGAUCAGGAAACGAGACGGUGCCCCUUCUUUUAAGAGGGUGCGUGCAUCACUUCCUCUCAGGUCCCAUUGGCCGGAAUGGAGUCCUGUGGCACAAUUAGCUGCAAGGGAGGCUGGGAGUUAGAGUCUUUAUUCUGGGGGAUUAUCUGUCCAGUUAUAAUUCUAUUAAAAAGAAAGGAGGGGGA
rnacentral:lncRNA from 1 species